GAUGAACGCUAGCGGCAGGCUUAACACAUGCAAGUCGAGGGGUAUAGUUCUUCGGAGCUAGAGACCGGCGCACGGGUGCGUAACGCGUAUGCAAUCUACCUUUUGCAGAGGGAUAGCCCAGAGGAAUUUGGAUUAAUACCUCAUAGUAUGUGAGAAUGGCAUCAUUUUCACAUUAAAGUCACAACGGCAAAAGAUGAGCAUGCGUCCCAAUAGCUUGUUGGUAAGGUAACGGCUUACCAAGGCAACGAUGGGUAGGGGUCCUGAGAGGGAGAUCCCCCACACUGGUACUGAGACACGGACCAGACUCCUACGGGAGGCAGCAGUGAGGAAUAUUGGACAAUGGGCGCAAGCCUGAUCCAGCCAUGCCGCGUGCAGGAUGACGGUCCUAUGGAUUGUAAACUGCUUUUGUACAGGAAGAAACACUGGUUCGUGAACCAGCUUGACGGUACUGUAAGAAUAAGGAUCGGCUAACUCCGUGCCAGCAGCCGCAGUAAAAC
rnacentral:rRNA from 1 species